rnacentral:rRNA from 1 species
UACGAAGGGGGCUAGCGUUGUUCGGAAUUACUGGGCGUAAAGCGCGCGCAGGCGGUCCUUCAAGUCAGAGGUGAAAGCCCCGGGCUCAACCUGGGAACCGCGCUUGAGACUGGCAUGCUCGAGUUCGGGAGAGGAUGGUGGAAUUCCCAGUGUAGAGGUGAAAUUCGUAGAUAUUGGGAAGAACACCGAUGGCGAAGGCAGCCAUCUGGACCGACACUGACGCUGAGGCGCGAAAGCGUGGGGAGCAAACAGG